AUUGAACGCUGGCGGCAUGCCUUACACAUGCAAGUCGAACGGUAACAGGUCUUCGGAUGCUGACGAGUGGCGAACGGGUGAGUAAUACAUCGGAACGUGCCUAGUAGUGGGGGAUAACUACUCGAAAGAGUGGCUAAUACCGCAUGAGAUCUACGGAUGAAAGCAGGGGAUCGCAAGACCUUGUGCUACUAGCGCGGCCGAUGGCAGGUUAGGUAGGUGGUGGGAUAAAAGCUUACCAAGCCGACGAUCUGUAGCUGGUCUGAGAGGACGAUCAGCCACACGGGGACUGGAACGCGGGCCAGACUCCUGCUGGCGGCAGCAGUGGGGAAAUUUGGACAAUGGGCGCAAGCCGUGUCCAGCAAUGCCGCGUGUAGGAUAGAGGCCUUCGGAUUGUAAACUGCUUUUGUACGGAACGAAAAGCCCUGGGUUAAUACCCUGGGGUCAUGACGGUACCGUAAGAAUAAGCACCGGCUAACUACGUGCCAGCCGCCGCCGUAACAC
rnacentral:rRNA from 1 species